AGGGAGGCAUGAUACAUGUCCAGUCGGCCAGUCAGUGCCUGGAUGUCACUUUGCCUCCCUAUAUAAAACCUGCCUUCUGAUGAGCGAACCAAAUGGAGAGAAAUUGGCACGUACAGAUACGGGGCAGACAGAA
ensembl:snoRNA small Cajal body-specific RNA 8